AUUGAACGCUGGCGGCAGGCUUAACACAUGCAAGUCGAGCGGAGAGAGGUAGCUUGCUACUGAUCUUAGCGGCGGACGGAUGAGUAAUGCUUAGGAAUCUGCCUAUUAGUGGGGGACAACAUUCCGAAAGGAAUGCUAAUACCGCAUACGCCCUACGGGGGAAAGCAGGGGAUCUUCGGACCUUGCGCUAAUAGAUGAGCCUAAGUCGGAUUAGCUAGUUGGUGGGGUAAAGGCCUACCAAGGCGACGAUCUGUAGCGGGUCUGAGAGGACGAUCCGCAACACUGGGACUGAGACACGGCCCAGACUCCUACGGGAGGCAGCAGUGGGGAAUAUUGGACAAUGGGCGGAAGCCUGAUCCAGCCAUGCCGCGUGUGUGAAGAAGGCCUUUUGGUUGUAAAGCACUUUAAGCGAGGAGGAGGCUCUUAAGGUUAAUACCCUUGAUGAGUGGACGUUACUCGCAGAAUAAGCACCGGCUAACUCUGUGCCAGCAGCCGCGGUAA
rnacentral:rRNA from 1 species